GCUAUUUGGAUUUAAGAAUUGGACAUGGAAAACUUGUAUCCAAAUUUAUUUGAGACAGAGAUUUUCCUUUAAUGGCAUCUUGACCAUUGAAAAUAUAAAUUCAUGCAUUAAUGUUUUAGUUUACAGUAUAAUACAGCGUUCCUUGGAACACUUUAUACGUGAAGCCAGAGCAGAGAAACAGAGACUGUGUUUUCCUGACACACACUAUUGCUUUAAGGUACUUUUCACAUCACUUGAUUAAUUAAUUAAUUAGUUCUGCCACACAACUGCAGUUAUUUGGGAUACAAUCACUGUGGAAGGAAGGCAGAGAUGAUUGAUUAGAGCAGAGCAGAGGAGCUCACUGAUGUCCCCACGUGACAGAACAGGAUUGGAUCCCAGAGGUUUCCCUAAAACCAGACUGCACAGGGACUGUCUGUGUGUGCCCAACUGCUCUGCUGUGCAGUCAUAAAAGGCAUUCAGAAAUUCAGCUGUAAAAAAAGGGGAUUCUUGGAGGUUGCUGAAGCACUUUGUGUGUUAAACAAGCAGGAAUCCACUCCUUUAACGGGAUGUUUUCGCUACUUUUCCAUGCAGUGGCAGCAGAGUGGCCUUGGCAGGAAGGUUCCAGAGCUCAAAGCCUGUUGUCCUGAACUGGGACUAAAGCACUAUUUAGCAUUGCUUUGCAAAGACUAAAUGGGCACCUCGUGAACCUGGCGCUUGUAGGCGCCCGUGGAGACCUGGAAGUGGGAAAGGAAACAGCUGGGACCUCUGCCAGAGAUCCAGCAUCCUCUGCAGGAUUGCCAGCAGCAACCAGUUUGACCAGGAAUGAAACAUCUGGGAUAAAAUCUCUCCUUUCUCUUGGUUCUGUAGAAUCCAUCCCGUGCCACAUGACGUUGGUGUUACAGGAAGAUGGUUCCUGGCAGAGCUGACAGAUUCCUUUCUGUCCCACACUCUCUGCCUUAUCUCAAUCCAGUUUUACUAAAUCAGAACCAUUUCUGAGGAAACCUCCCCAGUCAGGCAAGCAACAGGGUAAGACAAAUGAGGAAUAAAAAGGGAAAAUAAGGAAAACCAAGGAAAAGUACUAAGUGUGUUUGUAAAAAGAAGAGCUAUAACAUGCUCUGGGCUCAGGGUCUCCAAAACAACAAGGGUCAGUUUAAGACAAAGUUUUGUUGCCAGGAGACUGUAACCACGGACCAGAAAUGCUGAUUAGCUGAAGUACUUGAGGGAUGAUGGAAAGAGACACCUCAGUGGCUGUGUUAUGUCAAAAGAUAAACCAGCACAGUUAUUUUGGAAAAGUUAAAGACAACAAUACAAAUCCUAACAGCAUAAAUCCAGGGCAAGUGGUCACAGACUCUGAUUUAAAGUUUGAUUAUAAGACAUUGCCGGAGUUAAUUAUUUAGGUGAGCCAGGAGCUAAAUCACUGGAGGAGGACAAAGAUAAAGAGGUUAAACUUACGCAGCUCUAUCAUUCUUUUGGCACUAAAUAAACCCAAACCUGUUGGAGAUUGGGCAGCCAAGGUAAGAGGAGUUUAUAUAACCUGUGUGUGCACAGCUUUGUGCUUUCCUAAGGAGCCAGAAACUUCUGCAGAGAGACAGCAUUUAAAAAAAAGGCAUUUUCAGUUCCAUGUAGGCAUCAAAGAGGAAAGUUUAGAAAGAAAUCUGAAAGAAAUCAAAUAAAAGGAAAUAAGGAUAGAAUUUCAGAAGAUACAGGUCUAGCCAUCAGGUUCUUUUAAUGGUAACAGGAAAAUAAUAACUUGCAAAAAAGUUAAAAAGCUCCUCUUUUAUGUUUCUCUGGAAAGGCUGUCGUGGUCAGAGCAAAAGAAAAUUGCCCCCCAUGAGGCAGGUUUGGAUUCCUUGCUGUCAUUUAGUUCCUGACAAAGCUGGCAAAUAUCUGUGGAAAAGAAAACAUCUGCAAAAUGCUUCUGUAGAAGUGGGGAGAAGAAUGAACAUUCAAGUCAAACCAUUCCCAUAUGUUCAUCUGCUUUUACACCAGGUGUGGGGAGAAUCUGGACUCGUGAAAGCUUUUGCAGCUCCUAAAAACCCCUGUAGCCUUUUCAAUAAUGAUAUUAGAAUAAAGUCAAUGAUUUAUACAGAGCAUUCUUAAAAAUUGCAAAAUGUAAUUGAAUUAUUUUGCCAGUGGAGAAAUGGGGAAUAAAUGAGUUGUGCUUGCUUAACCUAAUUUUGGUUUCUUAGCACGAGGUUUAUAAUUGCUUUAAGUAAGUAAGUUAUUUGUAUUCAUUAGCAGUAAUUGAGGAGUAAAUGUGAUAGGAACAUAUUUUCUCUUGGAAAACUCUACUAGUAAGUCUGUGAUCUCAACUGUAUCAUUCCCCAGACUGAGCCAUCCUUACCAUAAUGGAUCCAUCACUAAUUAUACUGCAGGGUCAGAUGGAAUACACAGACACCCCUGAAAUCCUGAGGGAGAACAGGCAACGAGUUCUUAUUGAUAGUUCUCAUCUAAUCUGAUUUUACUGUGACUUUGGCUGCUCUGCAAGAAAUACAGAAUUGGGUGUGGAUCUGUUUUCUACCUGUGGGAUGGGUGGGAACUGGAGUGAUUCCAGAGGGCUGCACACUGGGCUUUCCCUCUGGGACACUGGGGGGGAUUCACAGCUUUGUUAUUCCCAGUGCACUGAGGGCACUGGACACUCAGUUUCUGGGAGCAGAAUGCUCCCAAUUCCUGACCAGCAUCCUAAAUCCUGGCUCCCUCUGCCUCUCCAGAUGCUGGUUCCCAGUGCUGUGUGUGAUCAGCUGUUCUCUUCUACUGAUUGAUACCAGCUUAAAGACAACCUGUCAGGCUUGGCUUCCUGGAAAAAUGGGUGCUAGGGGCUGGAUACCACCAGGAAUUAUCUGUCACUGGGUAUUUGCUCACGUACAAGACUGCUGAUACCUCCCUCUAAUUCAGCUCCUGUAAAUCCGAAAUAAAACUGCCUUGGAAAAUCCCACCGUGUCCUCCCAGCCCCAGAGGAGUCACUGAGGCUGCUUCUAACAAACCUGUGGCUUAAAAUCCACGUGGCAGAGUCAGCAGGGAACGCCCUCAGAAACUCAUAAAUUAUGCUGGAGCUCCUCAAAGCUGGAAGUCAUAAAGCAAUUUUAAAAGCCAAGAGUUCGUAAGAAUUAAGGGUUUUUUUCACAGGCAAACACCAGAGCGGCACAGGACAUGCCCUUGGAGCUCACCCCCAGGUAGGCAGGGAGUGAGAAAUUACAGCAAAAAAGCAAACUGGGGGGACAUGCCUUGCCUGUUGCUUUAUUCUCAAUUCAACUGUUUCCUGCCAUGAGGUUUCUACAGGAAAAUAAACCAAAUUAUCACCCAGGAAAGGACUUACCAAUUGACUGUGUUGCAGGAAUCUCUUCAUU